rnacentral:rRNA from 1 species
CCUACGGGAGGCAGCAGUGGGGAAUUUUGGACAAUGGACGCAAGUCUGAUCCAGCCAUGCCGCGUGCGGGAAGAAGGCCUUCGGGUUGUAAACCGCUUUUGUCAGGGAAGAAACGGCUUUUUCUAAUACAGAGAGCUAAUGACGGUACCUGAAGAAUAAGCACCGGCUAACUACGUGCCAGCAGCCGCGGUAAUACGUAGGGUGCAAGCGUUAAUCGGAAUUACUGGGCGUAAAGCGUGCGCAGGCGGUUAUGCAAGACAGAUGUGAAAUCCCCGGGCUCAACCUGGGAACUGCAUUUGUGACUGCAUAGCUAGAGUACGGUAGAGGGGGAUGGAAUUCCGCGUGUAGCAGUGAAAUGCGUAGAUAUGCGGAGGAACACCGAUGGCGAAGGCAAUCCCCUGGACCUGUACUGACGCUCAUGCACGAAAGCGUGGGGAGCAAACAGGAUUAGAUACCCUGGUAGUCCACGCCCUAAACGAUGUCAACUGGUUGUUGGGAGGGUUUCUUCUCAGUAACGAAGCUAACGCGUGAAGUUGACCGCCUGGGGAGUACGGCCGCAAGGUUGAAACUUAAAGGAAAUUGACGG